ensembl:lncRNA
CUCGCCUUGCCGCAGGAGACUCAGACCCCCUCCCACAGGGCAGUCACCAGCCUCCUCCCAGUAGCAAAUGAUUUGAUGGGGGCUCUUUUCUUUCGAAAGGACCUGGGGGUCAGCGGACGUUCGGACUCAUUGCGAAGUGAAGAACCUUACUGGGGGAUUUUUUUUCUUUCAUUCUUUCCCUUUUUUUUUGUAAUUAAAAAACCCUUUUCAGAACUAAAGGAGGAAACAGAUUCUUCCCUUUCCCAUUUUAAGCACUUAUGGGAGGAAGCGAAGAUAGGAAAGGCGAACCAGUCAACUGGAGUGGAGUAGGAGCUCAGAUGAAAAAGAAGACAGGAAAAGGAGAGAGGGAAACCUUAAGAUCCUGGCACCAAGAAGGAGCUGGGGGCUCUGACCACGGCCCGCAUGAGGAGUUAAACCCUUUCUAACUAACCUUCCAGGCAUCUAGAGACAGACCUCUCAGAUCUGAAAAGAAAGCCUGGCUGCCUUUAUUUAUAUUCAAUCUUCAAAGCCUAAUAUAUUAAAAUGAGAGUUCAUUUUUCCCACGACAUUCUGGAAAUCUUGUAUACAAGCAAAGAAAUGACCAUUUAUAAUGUUCUGCAGAAGAAUCCUGGAGCUUUAGGCCCUGGUGGAUUAUAAAUAAGAAAAAAAGGAACAAAUAUCUCAAAAUGUAUUGAUCUGAGUGCUGAAUAAUCUCAUUCUUCAAAGUGGAAAGUAACCCUGUUUUUGCAGAUAAGGAAACAGAGUUGUUAUUGCAAUCAACUGAAAGUUCAUCUGAAGUCUGGAAGAAAAGAGUGAGAUGCCCACAAGUACUAUAAACACAUGGAAGGUUCAUCAUAUCUGGAUGGUGUAAAAUGCAUUGGAAAAUGGUAGACCUGUUGAGACAGAUCAUAAAGAAACCUGUGCACCAUGCAAGGCUGCCUGAUGAACCUGGAGUCAUACCCAAAGCAGGAUAUUCCAGGAUGUUAUUCUGUUCCUCAUUGGUGUCAAAUCCAGCAUAGCCUCACAGAGCAACACCUCAGCUCCUCAGCCUAUCAGAUGCAUGGGAACCUUGACUGAAGCUGGACACUGAGGUUUAAGGCUUUAUCUUUCCAGGAACAUUCCCCAAUAAGCUUACCCACUUCCUGAAGGUUCCUAGUACCAGAAGAAAGCUAAACCAUAAAUUUGCUAUAGUCAGAAAAUCAUUCCUUUUCCUUCCCAUGUGCCUUUCUGAAACAUCCCUCAGAAAAAGAUGAGGGGAGGGGAGGAGAGGGGAAGGGGAAAUAUCACUAAUACACUACCCCUACAAUUACCUCACAUGUAUACUUUAAUUUUACUACUCUGAGAUUUUGCCCUCCAGCUUACAUUUAGUAAUGUUAGAAACACCUACUAGUGUCACAACUGGAGGAAUACUACUGACAUUUGGUGGGUAGAGGAGUCAGAUGCUGCAAAACAUAUUACAUGGACAUGACAAACCCCACAACGGUGCUAUCUGUUCCAAAACAUCAGUAAUGCUACAGUUGAGAAGCCAUGCUGUAGGCCACAUAUUAAGCUGAAAAUGCACAAUGUGAGAAAUAAAG